rnacentral:piRNA from 1 species
UUCAGGGAGACCCGAGAACAGGUCAAAGA